rnacentral:rRNA from 1 species
AUUGAACGCUGGCGGCAGGCCUAACACAUGCAAGUCGAACGGUAACAGGAAGCAGCUUGCUGCUUCGCUGACGAGUGGCGGACGGGUGAGUAAUGUCUGGGAAACUGCCUGAUGGAGGGGGAUAACUACUGGAAACGGUAGCUAAUACCGCAUAACGUCGCAAGACCAAAGAGGGGGACCUUAGGGCCUCUUGCCAUCGGAUGUGCCCAGAUGGGAUUAGCUAGUAGGUGGGGUAACGGCUCACCUAGGCGACGAUCCCUAGCUGGUCUGAGAGGAUGACCAGCCACACUGGAACUGAGACACGGUCCAGACUCCUACGGGAGGCAGCAGUGGGGAAUAUUGCACAAUGGGCGCAAGCCUGAUGCAGCCAUGCCGCGUGUAUGGAGAAGGCCUUCGGGUUGUAAAGUACUUUCAGCGGGGAGGAAGGGAGUAAAGUUAAUACCUUUGCUCAUUGACGUUACCCGCAGAAGAAGCACCGGCUAACUCCGUG